rnacentral:lncRNA from 1 species
GAUCAAGAUUUGGUUAGUUCAAGUUUGACUUCGAAUUGGUUUGAAAUCAAGCUUUUUUUGCAGGACUCUUCAUUGCCACCAACCAACCUUCUUUCUCAUGCACAAACAAAUUUUUACAUGAUGUUUUUUGCACCAAUCUAAGUUAUGUCGCCCUCCUUUCUGAGUCUCUUAUGUAUGGAUUAAAUUUGAUUUAAAAUAAAUUUUAAAUUUGAUUUGAAUUCAUAAUAAGAUCAAAGGCUAUUUUGAAGCUGAACUAGAUUAUCCAAACACUACAUGUGACACCACCUUUAAGAAAGGCUAGUUUUUGUGCACCAAACCACUUCAGAUUUGGUGUGAGAAAACCUCAUAGAGUGCAUGAGAGAUCUGAGAAAGAGAGGUGUGCGUCUGUGCAUGAGAAAAAGAGGAAGAAGAUCCUCUUUGGGGCGUGAGAUCUAGGGUUUCCUAGUUCCUAUUUUAUGAGAGAGA